rnacentral:tRNA from 1 species
GGCCCCAUCGUCUAGAGGCCUAGGACGUCAGGUUUUCAUCCUGGUAACCCCGGUUCGAAUCCGGGUGGGGUCA